AGUGAACGCUGGCGGCGUGCUUAACACAUGCAAGUCGAACGAGAACGGGUUAUAGCUUGCUAUAAUUGUCAGCUAAGUGGCGCACGGGUGAGUAAUGUAUAGGUAAUAUGCCUCUUACUAAGGGAUAACAAAUGGAAACGUUUGCUAAUACCUUAUACUCCUUAUUAACAUAAGUUAAUAAGGGAAAGAUUUAUUGGUAAGAGAUUAGCCUGUAUUGUAUCAGUUAGUUGGUGGGGUAAUGGCUUACCAAGACUAUGACACAUAACUGGUUUGAGAGGAUGAUCAGUCACACGGGAACUGAGACACGGUCCAGAUUCGUACGGGAGGCAGCAGUGGGGAAUAUUGCACAAUGGACGAAAGUCUGAUGCAGCAACGCCGCGUGGAGGAUGACACAUUUCGGUGCGUAAACUCCUUUUAUAUGAGAAGAUAAUGACGGUAUUAUAUGAAUAAGCACCGGCUAACUCCGUGCCAGCAGCCGCCGUAA
rnacentral:rRNA from 1 species